GGCAGAUUUUACAAUAAAAAGGAAGUAUUGCUUUUUUGUAUCCAUCAAAAAAGGAAUUGCUGAAACUGUGAAACAGAGUGUGAAAUGAAGUAAUGCAUUAUGUUAUUUAAUAAAAGGUGUCUUUCUGAGUAAAUAAAAAUAAAAAUCACCCUGUGUUUAUGUUUUUUGUUAGAAUUAGUGGGUUUUCAAUUUCAAAAUAUUGGACAUUGAAUAGACAUUGUGACCUACUUGACUGACAUCUAGCUUAUUUGGAGUGGAAUUUUAAAGUAUUAUUUAUAAGUGGAGCCUAAUAACAUGGACUUAUAUUUUAAUAAAAAGUUUUCUUUUGUGUUUUAAUUAUAAUUUCAAGGCACAUUUUUAUUGGUAAAGGCUAAAAAAGGUAAUUUAUUAUAUUAUUGCGAACGUCACAUCUUUUUCGUCCAUUGUGGUAUGUUACGAUCGCAAUUUUUUUGUUGGUUCUCAGACGGCCAAUUGUUAUUUUUAACUCGGGUUUUAUAAAUAAUUGAUAUAAAUAGCAAUCACAUUAAAUUUUGAUGACGAAAGGGGGUCAACGGACUUUCAGAAUCAAUAUCAUUGGCUGUUUUAGUUUUUGCGAACGUUACUGCUCUACGUUUCCGUCCAAAUCAAUGUCACGUGAGCAAUAUAUAUUUAGAUCUGUAACUCUCCUGUAUAGGAGUUACGAUAUCGCCCUUUGCAGAAAUGGAUGCGGAGCCGGUUCCCUCACAUAAUGGGAAAGCAAAGAAGAUGAAGUCCUCCAGAACUAACAGAGACGAUAAAUUUUUCAAACAUUAAAAUAUUUUUAAUCUUCUUAGUCUAGGCAGUAUUUUAGACUUUUGAAUGCAAAUGCAUCAUGAAUUAAAUGGGCAAAGCAAGGUGUUCUGAAGACUACAAAAGACUUUCUUUACCAAAAUCCAUGGUGAAAGUCAUUGAGGCAUUGAUCACUAUGGUAUUUCCAUAUUCACUGCGAAUUGAUUUGAAAUUGUUCAUUCUUCUGUUGUUUGAUGUUUCUUGCUAGACAUUACAUGGGCAUUUUGGCUUGUGCUUCAUAAAUAAUCCAUAUCCCCCUUCUGUUUUGAGUGCCAAAGGUUGCAGGUUCAAUACGUAGCCAGAUAAAAGAAGACAUUAAAAUUGGGUCUUUGCUGCUUCUCAUCCAAGCCGACAGCAUCUAGGAGUAAAAGCAAAGGUCAGCUUACAGAGGCAACAGAGUCUGUAUAAUGUGUCUUUGUGGAAAAUCCUGCUAAGCGUGUCGGUCUAGUACAAAGCAGAGAUCAUAUUAAAUCAACUUGUUCUCGUCCUGAUGUGCACAUACUAGGUUGACACUGGACGUUAAACAAUAAUUAAUCCAUCCAUCCAUAAAAUCUGGUGUCUCAGUCUGGUACAAAAAACAGUUCUUAUUGCAUUAGGUACUCGUAUCAUAUCAACAUCUCAGUUCACGACUAAAGAUAUGAACAGAUCUAGAAGAAUCAUUCAGUUACAUCUGAAAACUUUUUCGAUAAAGAUAUCAUGAAUCUUAUUUUUCACCUCCUGUAACAAUUUUGGCCCUAUUUAGUGCGACCCAUCUAGAUAGCAAAUUUUCUUAAUGUAAUACUGAAGAAGAUGUUGCUAAUGUUACUAUUACAAAUUGGUUUCUUGUGUAUUCAUUUGAUACAAAGUACACCUGCCAAUGACAUUCUGUAUAUUUAGAUAUUCUAAACCAGACUGUACAAUUUAAUUACUCAAAGCAUUUAUAAAGCACGACUGUGUGCAUACAUUUUAUUUUUUAAAGAUGCUGUUGCUAAUGUGACAUGUCCAAAUGUCGCUAACGUUACUCAUUUUUGUCUCCGUCACAUUAGCAACAGCCUUAAUUCAAAACAUGUUUUCUUUCAAGAAUCUGGCACAAAUUAAACUAGUAAAAAGUAAAUAUUGGCAACA